AACCAUUCAUUAAAACUGAAAUGUUGUGAUCCUACUAAAGCAUAUACAUUAAUUAUAAAUUGCAGUCAGAAGUCCUGUGGCCAGUGUUUCGUUUGUUUGGAGCUUUGGAAAUUCAUUGUGAUUUUGGUUACAUUUUUACCAUACUCAGUCAAAACUAUAUUCGUUUUAUGUACCCACACUUCCACAAUCUCUACAUAUAUACCUACCUCCACAUGAAUGAAGUACCUGGAUUGACUCUGAAUGGGUACUGAUGCGAUGAAUGUUUAUCCUUUUAUAUGCUCCAGUCUUGUCUUGGACAUGGUUGCAAUAAACAUAAUACCCGUUUCCAUGAACGUUGCUCAAUUUCUUGUGUCCUUGCAGCUGGAGAUGUAAACAGAUACAACCAUAAC
rnacentral:lncRNA from 1 species